rnacentral:rRNA from 1 species
GAGUUUGAUCCUGCUUCAGAUUGGACGCCGGCGGCAGGCCUAACACAUGCAAGUCGAGCGGAUGAAGGGAGCUUGCUCUCUGAUUCAGCGGCGGACGGGUGAGUAAUGCCUAGGAAUCUGCCUAGUAGUGGGGGACAACGUUUCGAAAGGAACGCUAAUACCGCAUACGUCCUACGGGAGAAAGUGGGGGAUCUUCGGACCUCACGCUAUUAGAUGAGCCUAGGUCGGAUUAGCUAGUUGGUAGGGUAACGGCCUACCAAGGCGACGAUCCGUAACUGGUCUGAGAGGAUGAUCAGUCACACUGGAACUGAGACACGGUCCAGACUCCUACGGGAGGCAGCAGUGGGGAAUAUUGGACAAUGGGCGAAAGCCUGAUCCAGCCAUGCCGCGUGUGUGAAGAAGGCCCUCGGGUCGUAAAGCACUUUAAGUUGGGAGGAAGGGCUCAUAGCGAAUACCUGUGAGUUUUGACGUUACCAACAGAAUAAGCACCGGCUAACUUCGUGCCAGCAGCCGCGGUAAUACGAAGGGUGCAAGCGUUAAUCGGAAUUACUGGGCGUAAAGCGCGCGUAGGUGGCUUGAUAAGUUGGAUGUGAAAUCCCCGGGCUCAACCUGGGAACUGCAUCCAAAACUGUCUGGCUAGAGUGUGGUAGAGGGUAGUGGAAUUUCCAGUGUAGCGGUGACCUGCGUAGAUAUUGGAAGGCACACCAGUGGCGAAGGCGACGACCUGGACUAACACUGACACUGAGGUGCGAAAGCUUGGGGAGCAAACAGGAUGAGGAACCCGGGAAGACC